AUUCAUAAAUAGCUCAGUUGUUGCAACAUGAGACUCUUAAUCUCAGGGUUGUGGGUUUGAGCCCCACGUUGGACA